rnacentral:rRNA from 1 species
AACGAACGCUGGCGGCAUGCCUAACACAUGCAAGUCGAACGAGACCUUCGGGUCUAGUGGCGCACGGGUGCGUAACGCGUGGGAACCUGCCCUUAGGUUCGGAAUAACUCCCCGAAAGGGGUGCUAAUACCGGAUAAUGUCUUCGGACCAAAGAUUUAUCGCCUUUGGAUGGGCCCGCGUUGGAUUAGCUAGUUGGUAGGGUAAAAGCCUACCAAGGCGAGGAUCCAUAGCUGGUCUGUGAGGAUGAUCAGCCACACUGGGACUGAGACACGGCCCAGACUCCUACGGGAGGCAGCAGUGGGGAAUAUUGGACAAUGGGCGAAAGCCUGAUCCAGCAAUGCCGGGUGAGUGAUGAAGGCCUUAGGGUUGUAAAGCUCUUUUACCCGGGAUGAUAAUGACAGUACCGGGAGAAUAAGCUCCGGCUAACUCCGUG